UUAUAAAUUAAUAAAGCUUUGAGUUCGGCAAAGGAAUGAAAAUAAACAUAGAUAUGAUGAUUUUUUUUUUUUCUCGGGAUUAAGAUAGGUAGCAUGCUAUCCUUUUCGUUCAUUUCAUUUAGAAAUAAAAUUAGCGAGAAAUAAAAUAGUUCGAAUCAAGUAGGAUUUGAACUUGAAUCCUUGAGUACCAAACACUAAGCCCUUUACCACUUGAAUUUGAGACGGUCAGUUAAAUAUGAUGAUUAUUCUAUUCAAAUUAGAACGACUCAGCCUUCUCCUGAAUAAUUGUUCCACUCAACGAAAUUGUUGAAGACCGGAUU
rnacentral:lncRNA from 1 species